rnacentral:rRNA from 1 species
GCCCAGAGUCCUACGGGAGGCAGCAGUGGGGAAUAUUGCACAAUGGGCGCAAGCCUGAUGCAGCGACGCCGCGUGAGGGAUGACGGCCUUCGGGUUGUAAACCUCUUUCAGCAGGGAAGAAGCGCAAGUGACGGUACCUGCAGAAGAAGCUCCGGCUAACUACG